CUACUGGCUUGCUUCGUAGUGCUAAACAUGACAUUUCUUAUCAUCCCCCAGAGCUAAGCGGAAUUACGGGAUUUGCUAUAGAUUCUGGAGUUGAGACCCACCGUGGCAAAGUGCCGCUUGGCUAAUGUGGAUACAGAAGCAUACGCUUUCAAGCACGCUUGACUUGGUCACCUGGACUAAGUGAUCCUUUUUAAGAUCAAGGUGGUCUUCUGUGAUUCUCCAGUUCAGUAAGAAGCCAUAUG